rnacentral:rRNA from 1 species
UGGCGCAAAGUCGGGCCAGAGACUACCCCAUGUAAACUUCAAUUUUUAAUUGAAUUGUUAUUUUAAUACAGUUGUCAAUUUGUUUGAUUAAAUUCAAAAUAAUCUUCAAAACUUUCAACAACGGAUCCCUUGGUUCUCGCAUCGAUGAAGAACGCAGCGAAAUGCGAUAAGUAAUAUGAAUUGCAGAUUUUCGUGAAUCAUCGAAUCUUUGAACGCACAUUGCGCCCUUUGGUAUUCCAAAGGGCAUGCCUGUUUGAGCGUCAUUUCUCUCUCUAACCCUUGGGUUUGGUAUUGAGUGAUACUCUUAGUCGGAUUAGGCGUUUGCUUGAAAAGUAUUGGCAAGAGUGUACUAGAUAGUACUACCUGUUAUUCAAUGUAUUAGGUUUAUCCAACUCGUUGAACGACUGGGCGUAAGUUUCUGGUAAAUGGCUCGGCCUUACAACAACAAACAAGUUUGACCUCAAAUUCAGG